AUUGAACGCUGGCGGCAGGCCUAACACAUGCAAGUCGAGCGAGCGGCGGACGGGUGAGUAAUGUCUGGGAAACUGCCUGCUGGAGGGGGAUAACUACUGGAAACGGUAGCUAAUACCGCAUACCAUCAGAUGUGCCCAGGUGGGAUUAGCUAGUAGGUGGGGUAACGGCUCACCAAGGCGACGAUCCCUGGCUGGUCUGAGAGGAUGACCAGCAACACUGGACAUGAGACACGGUCCAGACUCGUACGGGAGGCAGAAGUGGGGAAGAUUGGACAAGGGGCGCAAGCCUGAUGCAGCCAUGCCGCGGGUGUGAAGAAGGCCUUCGGGUGGUAAAGCACUUUCAGCGGGGAGGCGUUACCCGCAGAAGAAGCACCGGCUAACUCCGUGCCAGCAGCCGCGGUAAUUC
rnacentral:rRNA from 1 species